rnacentral:rRNA from 1 species
ACGGCUCAGUAACACGUGGACAACCUACCCUCAGCACGGGGAUAAACCCGGGAAACUGGGUAUAAUACCCGAUAGUUCUGGUUUGCUGGAAUGCUUCCAGGACGAAAGCUCCGGCGACUGAGGAUGGGUCUGCGGCCUAUCAGGUAGUAGUGGGUGUAAUGUACCUACUAGCCUACGACGGGUACGGGUCGUGAGAGCGAGAGCCCGGAGAUGGAUUCUGAGACACGAAUCCAGGCCCUACGGGGUGCAGCAGGCGCGAAAACUUUACAAUGCUGGCAACAGCGAUAAGGGGACCUCGAGUGCCAGGAUACAAUCUUGGCUGUCGUAAUGCCUAAAAAGCAUUGCAUAGCAAGGGCCGGGCAAGACCGGUGCCAGCCGCCGCGGUAACACCGGCGGCUCGAGUGGUAACCGCUAUUAUUGGGUCUAAAGGGUCUGUAGCCGGCCGGAUAAGUCUCUUGGGAAAUCCAGCUGCUCAACAGUUGGGCUUUCAGGAGAUACUGUUCGGCUCGAGGCCGGGAGAGGUGAGAGGUACUUCAGGGGUAGGGGUGAAAUCUUGUAAUCCUUGAAGGACCACCAGUGGCGAAGGCGUCUCACCAGAACGGACCUGACGGCAAGGGACGAAAGCUAGGGGCACGAACCGGAUUAGAUACCCGGGGUAGUCCUAGCCGUAAACGAUACUCGCUAGGUGUCAGCCACGGUGCGACCGUGGUUGGUGCCGUAGGGAAGCCGUGAAGCGAGCCACCUGGGAAGUACGCCGCAAGGCUGAACUUAAGGGAAUUGGCGGGGGGAAG